GAUGGUGUAGGGGCGAAGCACGCGACCAUAUGCAGAGGCUAUAGUCCUCGAAGCGGCUGUCCCGGGUUCGAGUCCCGGACCCA